GGGCUUUGAUUGUACCUAAUAAAGGAGCAUUUUGUAAUGUUAUAUGAAUACCGCAUCAAAAUACAUUUCAUUAUUUCAGAAUGAAAGUUUUUUUGCAAGACUGUGUUCUCUGACUCAAUGUCACUAUCAUUUGUCAAUCAUUAAAUCAUCAUUUCUUCCCAAACCACUACGUUCCCCUAUGGACCUAUUCAUUCUUUAGUAGUGGUAUGGGUUAAACCAAGGAUGUAAAUACACCUGGCCACCUUGAACAUGUAUAUGAGUAAACCUUUUUAAUUUAUUGAUGAUGUCAAAACAAGCUUUUACAAUUAAUUUUGA
rnacentral:lncRNA from 1 species